UGGCUCUUGACGAAGGAGUUGAUGGCCGGGUUGGGGCCGAUGUAGGCGGCGUCGAUGGCACCGGCGUUCAAGGCCUCGAUGGCCGC
rnacentral:tRNA from 1 species